UUUUGAUUUGAAAGUAGGUGUUCUCGUUUCUGAUUAUUGUGCUCUAUUAUGACACCUGUGAAGAUUGGAUUUGGCUCUCCCCUGAUUGUAACAAUGAAGGUACCUAGCUCUUCCCUGAUUGUGAAGAUUUAAAUUAUAACUAACCUCUAUUUUUAGAUUUUAAUCCCUAUGAGUGUAAACACCCUACUUAAAAGUUAAGUUUGGAACCCUGCCUAUUUUUAGAUUCAAUCACAAAAAAUGCAAAUAAAGUACUUAAAAGUUAAGUACGAAGAUCUGUCCAGUUAGAUCUAAUCACCAAAGUGCAACUAUCCCACUUAAUCAUGAAGUGGGACAUCUGUGAUCCACAUGUGUGGUAGUGGGUAACGAAUCAGAAUCAACUAACUGACUUCUGGGCAGUCCUAGAGUAGAGCAUCAGCUGUGAUUAGUAGACAUGGAAUUAGGGGAAGCGAUGCAAGAGAAAAUGUCUUUAAAAGUGGAGUUUGACUUGGAACUGGGAUAGACUUGGAGUGGAACCUCCUGUGAAAGGAGUUCUUCAAUUUUUGGAAGUGGAGAAUGGAGGAAUUCUUCAUGCUUUAGAGUUGAGGUUGGUGAAGGGGGGAAGAAGGAUCUCCUGACUGGACCUGAGACCCUGUUUUCCUGGUGAGGCUGAUAAAGAAUCUGCUGACUGGACUGACACGUGGAAGAAGAUGAGCCUCUCCGUUUAGGACUAGGAUUAUGGACUCUUAGCAUGAGUGGAAUAGGUGUGGUGCCUUUUUCCAUGAAUCCUUAUAAAGGAAUAUUCACUGCUCUGUCCCUGGUAGAGAGAAUUUUUGGAGGUUGUGGAAAAUUUGAGUCCCCCAACAUUCAUAUGUCAUUCUUCUAUGUGGAGCUUAUGAUUUGUUUCUAAAACAAAUGAGAGGAAUUCAGAGAAACAUGGGAAGAUAUGGAACAUGAUGGAAGAACUGAUGCAAAGAUCAGCAAGAACAACCAUAAGAACAAUAUGCACCAUGACUGUAACAAUGUCAAUGAAAGUAUCAUUAAAAUAAGUGGAGCUCAAGCAGCCACUACCCAAAGACACCUUCCUACUCCCAAGAAUCCUUCCUUGAUCCAACGUACAAUAAAAUGAAAUGAUAAGCAUGACCCAUUUUACAUCUGGAAUCUCUCAUCUGUCUGAUGAGAGGCAAGAAGCAUGUUUUAUGAUGUGACCUCUGAGGUGACAAUUGACAAUUGAGUUGAUCAGAGUUCUGAAGUUUUCCAGUGCUGUUUAUCCUUGCAUUAUUUUAUUAUAGUCACUGUGCAAACUGUUCUUUUUCUGCUGAUUUUGAUCUACAUCAUCUCAUUUAAGUCUUGUGAAUUCUUCAUAGUUAUCAUUUCUUAUGGCACAAUAAUAUUCCUUUACUUUGUAAUUUUAUCAUACAUUUGUUCAACCAUUCCUCAAUCAAUAAACACUCAUUUUCUUUCUAGUUCUUUGUUACU
rnacentral:lncRNA from 1 species